rnacentral:lncRNA from 1 species
GGUUGAGGCACUGAUGGCAUCGAUGGGCAAUAAACAACUUCCAAGAAAUCACAGAAGCUGGGAAGGAUCGUGAUGGAGAACCGAGGCGUUGGAAUGGGACCGGGAUGGCUUCUUCUCGGUUGGGAAACGGCAGCAUUUAAGAUCCCAAGUGGAGAACCGGCUGAGAUCUCCUUGAAAUAAGGCGAUGGAAGACUCUAGCGUUGGAUCUGAAA